UACGGAGGGGGCUAGCGUUGUUCGGAAUUACUGGGCGUAAAGCGCACGUAGGCGGCUUUGCAAGUCAGAGGUGAAAGCCCGGGGCUCAACCCCGGAAUAGCCUUUGAGACUGCAUCGCUAGAAUUGUUGAGAGGUAAGUGGAAUUCCGAGUGUAGAGGUGAAAUUCGUAGAUAUUCGGAAGAACACCAGUGGCGAAGGCGACUUACUGGACACAUAUUGACGCUGAGGUGCGAAAGCGUGGGGAGCAAACAGG
rnacentral:rRNA from 1 species